AACGAACGCUGGCGGCAGGCUUAACACAUGCGAGUCGAACGCCCCGCAAGGGGAGUGGCAGACGGGUGAGUAACGCGUGGGAAUCUACCCAGUUCUACGGAACAACUGAGGGAAACUUCAGCUAAUACCGUAUACGCCCUACGGGGGAAAGAUUUAUCGGAAUUGGAUGAGCCCGCGUUGGAUUAGCUAGUUGGUGAGGUAACGGCUCACCAAGGCGACGAUCCAUAGCUGAUCUGAGAGGAUGAUCAGCCACACUGGGACUGAGACACGGCCCAGACUCCUACGGGAGGCAGAAGUGGGGAAUAUUGGACAAUGGGCGCAAGCCUGAUCCAGCCAUGCCGCGUGAGUGAUGAAGGCCUUAGGGUUGUAAAGCUCUUUCAGUGGGGACGAUAAUGACGGUACCCACAGAAGAAGCCCCGGCUAACUUCGUGCCAGCCGCCGCGGUAACAC
rnacentral:rRNA from 1 species